rnacentral:lncRNA from 1 species
CUAUUUAAAUUCAGGGCUAAAUUACAUAAAAUCUUUCUUUCAAAAUUCAAUUUUUUACUUUCUUCUCCUGUCAUUUAAAAACUUACACUUUACUCCCUUGUAAAAUAAAAAAUGUUCACGGGGAGUACGUCGUGAAAUAUGAUGACAAAAUGACCAUUUUGCUCCUUACCAUUUUCGUCUCCUCCCUCGUCUCGCUCAUCCGCCGCCUCGGUUGGCCGCGGUUCAAGCUCGAUCGACCGCGAUUCCUCUCCAUUUUCUUCUCCACCUGCUCCCCCUUUUCCUCCUUCACCCUCGUCGCCCCUCUAUUUCGGUAACAGUAGGAAGGAAAUCAAGGUGGGUGUGGAUGGAAAGGUGGGCAAAGGCAACGAAGGCGAAGACGAGGUGGCGGAGGAGGGCGAGAGGGUGUUUGUCGACACGGACAGAAAUAUGGGUGAGGGCGAGGCAGUGAUGGAGGGCGAGUCGGUGAGGUGGCGAGGCGGAGGAGGACGAAGCACAAUAAAGAGGGCGGAGGGUAUUUUUGGCAUAAAAAAUAUUUUAUAACGUAUAACCCUAACGGUAGGGGUUGAUGUGAAUAUUUUUCAUUUUACAAUGGGGCAAAGUGUAGGUUUUUAAAUGACAGGAGGGAAAGUGAAAAAUCGGAUUUCGACAGUGAGGUUUUCUGUAAUUUAGCCAAUUCAACUCUGAAGUUUGAAAGAUGGUAUAAAUUAUAAUUCAAAAUUACAAUUCAAAUUCAAAUAUUUUAUUUCAAUUCAAACUUAAGGAGUUCGGCUACUACUGUUAUGAAUACGAACACCUUGGUACUCAUAAGUCGUUUUCGAUGAUAGAGCUUCCAAAUCAACGAUCCAUACCGUUAAACAUUAUCUGGAGUAUCUACAACUUCUAGAAAUCAAAUUUCACAAUUUUUUGAAAUUAUUUACCUUACGAUCAAAAGAUCUCAAAAUUGACAAUUUUUAACAGCCGAUAUGGGAUAUUUGCUAGCUUAACGGUGUAAAAGAACCGAAAUCGAUUGAAUUUUUGAUAAAAAAUUUUGUUCACUGUCGAGAUAAAGAUCAAUAACUGUGAUCUUAAAUUGAAGGAUCCAAUCAUCUAUUUUUAGGACAUCAUUCAAUUUUGACCGUUCAUUUUACACCCGCCUGAUGGACUCUAUUAUGAUUUUGAAAAAUUAUGAAAUUUAUUUUUUAGAAAUUUUAAAUACUCUAAAUCAUGUUUAAUAGAGUGGAUCAUCGAUUCGGAAGCUCCAUCAUCGAAAAUAACUUAUAAGUAUUACACUCAUAAGAGUACAGUAGCCCUACUCCAAAUUUAAGCACUAUGCCUUA